GACAGAGGGGGCAAGCGUUGCUCGGAAUCACUGGGCGUAAAGGGCGCGUAGGCGGGAUGGCAAGUCGGUCGUGAAAUCUCCGGGCUUAACUCGGAAAGGUCAACUGAUACUGUGCGACUAGAGUGCAGAAGGGGCAACUGGAAUUCUUGGUGUAGCGGUGAAAUGCGUAGAUAUCAAGAGGAACACCUGCGGCGAAGGCGGGUUGCUGGGCUGACACUGACGCUGAAGCGCGAAAGCCAGGGGAGCGAACGGG
rnacentral:rRNA from 1 species